CCGUGCAAUAAGGAGCCACAACUAGACGGACAGAGUACUAUCCAUUAUUUGGAUAGCAUAGGCUUACACUGAAUGCAAAGAUUGGAUUGAGUUCUUUCCUGGGGAGAGAUUCCCUUGCAGUUCUUUAGAACUACGCAACUGAGGCCAAGGAAUAAGAAGUGAAAUGUUAUCCCAAGAUUUAGGUGGUUAAGAAAGAAUGUGCCUUCUCCCUCAUCUCUUUGCUCAUCCAUACCACUGAAUGCAGAGAAAAAUGAGGCCUUAGGAGAUGUUGGAUUACAGGAGGUUAGAAAGCUGAUAUGCAAAAUCUCUAAAUUGCACUGGCAACCCUCCAAGGAAAUCUACUACAGACAACCAAAAGCUGGAUGAGAAGAAACAGAAAGAAAUUUUUCAAAUAGACUCAGCGUUGCAUGGAUUCUCAUGAAACACAGGACGUAACUUGGUUAUAAAACCAAAUUGUUGUUGGUCUGUGGAACGAUGUGUGCUUACCUGGGAGGUAUUGCAGCAAAGUUACAUACUGUGUCUUCAAUAUUUAUAACAUCUAA